AGCAAACUACAUAUUCAUUGGGUUUAAGGUUUUGUCAGCUUUGCAGCGUUUCCUUGGGUUUAGGGGUGCUCGAUGGCACAUAUGCUCCCAACAAUUCAAUUGUUCAAGUGUCAACACGAACAUAUAUAUGGCAUUCAAGAUCUCGAUAUGCACUCUGAUCAUCAUUGCAUAUUCAUAAUUUGAUCUACAAAAAAUAAUUAUGUUUUGCUCAUAAAUGCAGAUCAAAUGGAGAAGGGUAUAGAGAGUGAGGCAACAACGAAAGCUGUUAGCAAUGCUCAGAUAAUUGACGAGGAGGAAAUGCGCGCGAUCAGCCUCUGACCAAGAAAUUGAUACACAAGGGGACUGCUUAGAUGGAGACAAAGGAAGUGUUUGUGUUGUUUGCAAUGCUGAAAAGCCUUCACUCGAUGUUUUGUACUUUGUUAUGCCAUGUUACGUAUAAGUGUUUCCCGAAUUGUAUACAUUGUGUCAUAUGCAACUCUAGAAAAAAAUCAUUGUUUGAUUAUUUUCAUGUGCAUCUCUAAAAUAAAACUGUGACGUUAGCACGGGCACUAUACUAGAAGAAAAGAAUGCUAACACAUCUAUCCCUUUGAUCUUAUAAAAAGAAAACAAUUAUAAAGUUAAGAAAAAAACUACUCAUCAGUUGCUACCGGUACCGGUUGAUAUCAGAGCAUGCAUAUGCACUCUUGAAAUCACAGCGCGACCAUCCAUUUCCAAACAAGCUGCAUGCAUGUUGGUCUAACACGUUAGGGACAUGACCACGUGGACUGCUAAUACGUUAAGAACAUGGACUGGUAAUACAUUAAGAACAUGUUUCUCUAUGUGAGCCAUGUUAAAAUUUCACUAGAGAUUAGGUUGUAGUCGACACUACAGGCCAUAGAUCAAGCUAAAUGUAGUGUACUAGUAUAGUAAGUCACUAUAUCCAUCUAGAUCAAGCUAAAUGGACGGUGCAUGGUUAUUUUUGGUGGACCAUAGCCACACCAAUUUACAAGUAGGUAGCAUGUAUGAACAUUACUAAAUGUAGUGUACUAGUAUAGUAUUGCACUCACAUCAUCUGACCACCUACUAAACUUCAGGUAACAUUCCCUCGAUCUAGCUUCCUUUAUAUUAUCCAGCCAUGCAUGGAGCAACGCACAAUGGAGGUGACAGAGAGAAGUUUGUGUAUAGCAGCAGGAGGAGAAUAGACAAAUAAAACUCGUCUUAUGUAGGCAUGGGAGUCACUAGGAAAUAGUGUACCAUGAAGGCUAUUGUUUGACUGUUUUCCACUGGUAUAUGUCUUGCUAGAUAUUUCUGGAUUGUUGCCUUUUUUCUAUGUGCAGCGUGAUGAAUCGCAGUGGAUGAGAACAGCUUGCCUAAGAGAAACACCAUAUAUAACAACCUGAUAUAGUGUAGAAUGCCUCUACUAUUGAUGCCACCUUAGAACUUUGUCAUGCUUGUAGAAAACAUUAUAGGUUGGUCCUGUAUCACAAAUUUACAUUACACACCCACCAUAAUAGUAAGUGUAUGUACAACCUGACUCUUGAGAGGAACCAUUAUAUAUCUGAUGGUGGCACCAUCUACUUCAUCAUAUGACAGGUAAAGCUAAUGUACAUCUUUUACUUCAUAGGAGGUAAUAUCUUAAAUAAAUCUGAGUCCUUGAUAUUUUAGAUUUUUCAAAUUAAUUAAUUACUUAAUUAACAUGCGAAAACAAAAAAAAUCUUGCCGCAUCCCCCUAAUAAUUACUAUGACCUCAUCACGGAGACAGAUGCCUCGUGGCCUUCCUUCCUUUUCCGUGGAGGUUUCCAAAAAUUGAUAUUCCAUAAUUGCUAAUCUAGUUGUGGUUCACACAUUAGAAAUAAGUUAUCCACUCACAUUAAUUACCUGCUCACCUGACACGCUAUUAUCAUACAAUGUGUCACACGUUAACACGCCACCAACUUUUUUUGAAAAAUAAUACAGUAUAUGCUUGUAAACAAUAAUAUGUCACAUGCAUAAGUUAUCCACUCACAUUAAUUACCCGCUCACUAGACAUGCUGACUAUGUACACACGCACGCUAAUGACGUACACACACUAAUCAUAUACACAUGCAAAUCAUAUAUAUCACACUAAGAUCAAGUGUCAGGUGGCAUACGAAAUUACAUGAUAGUCAAAAUAUAUGAGGUCCAAAGUUACAAAGUCAAAAGCAUUUACUAUAUAUAUCAGUGGAUCACGCAUGU
rnacentral:lncRNA from 1 species